ACUCAAAGGAAUUGACGGGGGCCCGCACAAGCGGUGGAGCAUGUGGAUUAAUACGUCACUAACCGUAGAACCUUACCCAGGCUUGACAUCUGUGGAAAGCGCCUGAAAGGGUGCCGUGCCUCGCAAGGGGAACCGCAAGACAGGUGUUGCAUGGCUGUCGUCAGCUCGUGUCGUGAGAUGUUGGGUUAAGUCCCGCAACGAGCGCAACCCUCACCGUCUGUUGCCAGCAUUCAGUUGGGCACUCUGACGGAACUGCCCGGGUAACCGGGAGGAAGGUGGGGAUGACGUCAAGUCAGCAUGGCCCGUACGCCUGGGGCUUCACACAUGCUACAAUGGCCGGUACAGAGGGUCCCGAGCCCGCGAGGGGGAGGCAAUCCCAAAAAGCCGGUCUCAGUUCGGAUCGCAGGCUGCAACUCGCCUGCGUGAAGGCGGAAUCGCUAGUAAUUGCCGGUCAGCUAAACGGCAGUGAAUACGUUCCCGGGCCUUGCACACACCGCCCGU
rnacentral:rRNA from 1 species